UACGGAGGGAGCGAGCGUUGUUCGGAAUUACUGGGCGUAAAGCGCACGUAGGUGGCGACGUAAGUCGGGUGUGAAAGCCCCGGGCUCAACCUGGGAAUUGCAUUCGAGACUGCAUUGCUGGAGUACGGAAGAGGAGGGCGGAAUUCCCGGUGUAGCGGUGAAAUGCGUAGAUAUCGGGAGGAACAUCAGUGGCGAAGGCGGCCCUCUGGUCCAGUACUGACACUCAAGUGCGAAAGCGUGGGGAGCAAACAGG
rnacentral:rRNA from 1 species